UACGAGACGCUACGGCGUCGAAGCAGUCUAUGUCAUACUUCCAAGAAAAGCUCGCAAUGUCAUAAACAAAUAAUGCCUGUACCAUAACCGACACAGGUGGGUAGGUAGAGUAUACUAAGGGGCGCGAGAUAACUCUCUCUAAGGAACUCGGCAAAAUGACUCCGCAACUUCGGGAGAAGGAGUGCCUUAUUUAUAAGGUUGCAAUAACAAGAUCCAAGCAACUGUUUAUCAAAACCACAGGUCUCCGCUAAGUCGUAAGACGAUGUAUGGGGGCUGACGCCUGCCCAGUGCCAGAAGGUUAAAGAAGUUGGUUAGCAUUCGCGAAGCUGAUAACUGAAGCCCUGGUGAACGGCGGCCGUAACAAUAACGGUCCUAAGGUAGCGAAAUUCCUUGUCGGGUAAGUUCCGACCCGCACGAAAGGCGUAAUGAUUUGGAUACUGUCUCGGAGAGGGGCUCGGUGAAAUAGACUUGUCUGUGAAGAUGCGGACUACCUGCACCUGGACAGAAAGACCCUAUGAAGCUUUACUGUAACUUGAAAUUGAAAUUGGACUUUAUUUGCGCAGCAUAGGUGGGAGGCGUUGAGAGUAUUCUUGCGGGAAUAUUGGAGCCAUCAGUGAGAUACCACUCUUGUAAUGUUAGAUUUCUAACUUUGGAUCAUUAUCUGGUCAAAGAACAGUUUCAGGCGGGCAGUUUGACUGGGGCGGUCGCCUCCCAAAUGGUAACGGAGGCGUACAAAGGUUUCCUCUGAACGGGUAGAAAUCGUAUCUAGAGUGUAAAGGCAUAAGGAAGCUUGACUGUGAGACCUACAAGUCGAGCAGGGACGAAAGUCGGUCUUAGUGAUCUGACGGUGCUGAGUGGAAAGGCCGUCACUCAACGGAUAAAAGUUACUCUAGGAUAACAGGCUGAUCUCCCCCAAGAGUUCACAUCGACGGGGAGGUUUGGCACCUCGAUGUCGGCUCAUCGCAUCCUGGGGCGGUAGUACGUCCCAAGGGUUGGGCUGUUCGCCCAUGAAAGCGGUACGCGAGCUGGGUUCAGAACGUCGUGAGACAGUUCGGUCCAUAUCCGGUGUAGGCGUUAGAAUAUUGAGAGGAGCCUUCUUUAGUACGAGAGGACCGAGAAGGACAUACCUCUGGUGUACCAGUUAUCGUGCCAACGGUAAACGCUGGGUAGCUAUGUAUGGAGAGGAUAACCGCUGAAAGCAUCUAAGUGGGAAGCCCACCUCAAGAUAAG
rnacentral:rRNA from 1 species